UACGUAGGUGGCAAGCGUUGUCCGGAAUUACUGGGCGUAAAGAGCGCGCAGGCGGUCGUCCAAGUCGGAUGUGAAAGCCCCCGGCUCAACUGGGGAGGUGCAUUCGAUACUGUUCGACUCGAAGGCAGGAGAGGGAAGUGGAAUUCCGGGUGUAGUGGUGAAAUGCGUAGAUAUCCGGAGGAACACCAGUGGCGAAGGCGACUUUCUGGCCUGUUCUUGACGCUGAGGCGCGAAAGCUAGGGGAGCAAACGGG
rnacentral:rRNA from 1 species